AUUGAACGCUGGCGGCAGGCUUAACACAUGCAAGUCGAGCGGAGAUGAGGUGCUUGCACCUUAUCUUAGCGGCGGACGGGUGAGUAAUGCUUAGGAAUCUGCCUAUUAGUGGGGGACAACAUCUCGAAAGGGAUGCUAAUACCGCAUACGUCCUACGGGAGAAAGCAGGGGAUCACUUGUGACCUUGCGCUAAUAGAUGAGCCUAAGUCGGAUUAGCUAGUUGGUGGGGUAAAGGCCGACCAAGGCGACGAUCUGUAGCGGGUCUGAGAGGAUGAUCCGCCACACUGGGACUAAGACACGGCCCAGACUCCUACGGGAGGCAGCAGUGGGGAAUAUUGGACAAUGGGGGGAACCCUGAUCCAGCCAUGCCGCGUGCGUGAAGAAGGCCUUAUGGUUGUAAAGCACUUUAAGCGAGGAGGAGGCUCUUUUGGUUAAUACCCAAGAUGAGUGGACGUUACUCGCAGAAUAAGCACCGGCUAACUCUGUGCCAGCCGCCGCCGUAA
rnacentral:rRNA from 1 species